UACGGGGGGAGCAAGCGUUGUUCGGAUUUACUGGGCGUAAAGGGCGCGUAGGCGGUCGUGACAAGUCACUUGUGAAAUCUCCGGGCUUAACUCGGAACGGUCAAGUGAUACUGUCGGACUAGAGUACAGAAGGGGCAACUGGAAUUCUCGGUGUAGCGGUGAAAUGCGUAGAUAUCGAGAGGAACGACCUGCGGCGAAGGCGGGUUGCUGGGCUGAUACUGACGCUGAGGCGCGAAAGCCAGGGGAGGCGAACGGG
rnacentral:rRNA from 1 species